AAGAUAACACAGCACUCUUGAGAUGACAGCUCAGGUAUGCAGUCUGCCGGCCCAAGCCCCAUGGAACUGUGGGAAGGAACGCAAGUGAUUCUCCUAUUGGACAGGGGCAAGUGCAUGGAAAAGGAUGAUGGUGAGGCUGAAAGCAGGAAAAGAUUUGACCCAUCUCCCAGGUUGGGCCCAGGCCAGAGGUCUCUACCAGCAAAGAGGAUAAAAGAGACUACACCUGGACAAACCCUCCCAGGCCCAGGCCUGAGCCUCACAUGUGGCCCCGGGGAAGGCAUCAGGGACUCCCUUUGCCCUCCCACUGACCUCCCUGCAAACCUCCCCCAAACCAAGGGGCAUCCUCAGCUGGCCAGACCCUGGGGGAAGGGAGAGAGCCGAGGAUCACCGGCACCUGUGGCUGGGUUACCCCUGCCAUGGACCACUGGGUGAUCAAGAAGUCAUUCCAAAAUGUGAAGCGUUCUGAAGAUAUGCACAUAGCGUAAGAACCUGGUGUAAUGUGCUGGUCAAGGCGGUCUCAGAGAGGAGAUGACGUUUGAGCUGACACCUGAGGGAUGAGAAGAAAGCAGCCAUUCCCAGGGCCCAGGGGAGGCAUCCCAGGAAGCCGGAUCAGCAUGAGCAAAAGCCCUGAGGCCUGGCACAAGUUGGUCUGCUUGAGAAGCAGGAGAGAGCCCUGAGCAUCCGGAGUGCAGCAAGCGAGGUGCACAGAGGAGCAGGAAGGGGCUGGGAGAAGGCUGGGGCCGGAUCAUGCAGGACAGGCUGGAGGAAGGGGCUUGAAUUGUCUUCUGACCACUGAGGGGAUAUAAACAUGAGGGCAAAAUCAUCUGAUUUCCAUGUGCAAAGGCCCACUCUGGCUGCUCUAGAGAGAACAGAUGAUUGCAGGGUAAAAGUGGAUUUAGAGAGGUCAGAUGGAGGCUGGGUACGUGCCGUGUAUGGUAGAUAGCAUGCUACCAAAUACACUCACAGGUAGCCCUAUUAUCUCCAUUUCACAGAUGAGCAAGUCAAGAUGCAGAAGGACUCUCUGGCUUGUCCAAGGUCACACGGCUGUUAGGAGCAGAGCAGCGUCCUGGUGCCCAAGCCCUGAGGUCCCCAGCACACUGCCUCUGCAAUGGCCACAACUGUCCAAAGACUAAGCUGACUCUCACACCUGGUAGUGUCUGUGGUCAUUCACUGUGGAUGGAAGUGGAGAAAUGCAGAAAACAGAAACACAGCUUCCCCUUUUCUGUCAUAUUUCUGUAUCGUUGGUGUUUGGAGCCAGUUGAGCACAAAGGGCCCCUGAGUGCUGUUUCCUUGUGAUAUUUGGGGGUUAACAGCUUCCCCUCAUCUCUUAAUUACCUGCCCUCCUUCACUUCAGCUGCACAUUCGUUAAAGAAUGCUCUCCCAGGAGAAGAGCUUGGUGUUAUCACCCACAAACAUCUUAGAAAACUAAUGCUAUCCUUGAGUGCCUGUUUACAGAAACAUUUUUACAUCUCACUUGACAUUUCCAGCAAAUCUUGAUCCUUCCAGCCAGGAAUAUUAAUAUAUAGGUCUUGAAAAGUGCAAGAGGCUCUUCCAUGGCUCCAAGCACAUUUGACACUCUUCCUUUUCUGAUCCCCAAGCAGACAGUGAUGAAACCCCAAUAGCUGGGCGAAUACUCAUCCAACAGGAAGAAUCAGUUUUAAGAGCUGGGUUCUCAGGGUCAAAUACUGUGGUGUGGCCUUUUGGUUGUAAUGAGUUGAAUGGAGGUCUCAAAAAAGAUAUAUCCAUGUUCUAAUCCCCAGAACUUGUGAAUGUGACCUUAUUUGGAAAAAGAGUCCUUUUGGAUGUAAUUAAGUUAAGGAUUUUGAGAUAAGGAGAUCAUCCUGGGUUAUCUGGGUGGACCCUAAAUCUGUUGACAAUGUCCUUAUGAGAGACCCCAGAGGGCACAGACAGGAAAGGAAGAGGCAAUGUGGCCCCAGAGGCUGAGAUCAGAGCUCUGUGGCCACAAUUCGAGGAACACCUGGAGCCACCAGAAGCUGGAGGAGGCAAGGAACAGAUUCUCCCUGAUCCUCUGGAUACAGAGGGAGAAUAGCCUGGCCGACACCUUGAUUUUGGACUUCUGGCCCCCAGAACUGAGAAAAUUAACUUCUGUUGUGUUAAGCAGCCACGUUUGUAGCAGUUCAUCAUAGCAGCCCUGGGAAAGAAAUACAGUGGGCUUCCAGUUCAAGGAGGAUCCACGAGGCCUGAGCUCCAUCUGUCGAUUGGAAUCACCAAAAUCAAGGUUGUGUGCGGGUAACGCCAGCACAAGCAGCUCAUGCUGGCAAAAGCAGACCAAACCGGCUCACGCAACGUCAAGUCAUCUUGAAGUGGUUCACGCACCACAGUGAGUGGUAUUGAUUGUGGUUAAGAGCCAGGUUCAAGGAGGUUUAUCACUCAGUAGCCAGGUAAAGCAGGUUCCAGGCCUGGCUCCACCACUCAACAACCGGGGAAACAGGGGCGGCAAAACUGAAUCCCAGAGAGAAGACUCACUCAGACACAGCUAUCUGAACACUCUUUUCCAGUUCCCCUAGGGCAGCAGAGGAAGCAAGGUGGGGGGAAGCCAGUGGUCAAGGAUUCCAUGCGGAAUGUACCCUAGAAUUAACCCAUGGAGAGAGGGUAAGGGAACGGGCUCAGGCCUGGGAAGAAGUGGGGAGGACAGUGUCCUGUUGACCUAUUCAAAAACAUCCAGUUUUAGUUAAUUUUUAGUUCAUUAGUCACCACUUUUUAUUAGUAUCUCAUGUAUUCUUUCACAGUUUCUUUCUGCAGGUACAAAAAUAAUGAUUUUUUUUCUUUCUUUUUCUUCUUUGAGACAGGGUCUCGCUCUGUUGCCCAGGCUGUAGUACAAUG
rnacentral:lncRNA from 1 species